rnacentral:rRNA from 1 species
UACGGAGGGGGCUAGCGUUGUUCGGAAUUACUGGGCGUAAAGCGCACGUAGGCGGACUCUUAAGUCAGGGGUGAAAUCCUAGAGCUCAACUCCAGAACUGCCUUUGAUACUGAGAGGCUUGAGUCCGGGAGAGGUGAGUGGAACUGCGAGUGUAGAGGUGAAAUUCGUAGAUAUUCGCAAGAACACCAGUGGCGAAGGCGCUCACUGGCCCGGUACUGACGCUGAGGUGCGAAAGCCAGGGGAGCAAACGGG